rnacentral:rRNA from 1 species
AUGUCAGGAAUGGAAGGGGACGAGGCGGGGGCUGCGGCGGCGGCAGCGGCAAGGAUAAGGGUGGUGCGCUGCCCCAAGUGCGACAAGUUCCUGCCGGAGCUGCCCGCCUACUCCGUCUACGUUUGCGGCGGGUGCGGCGCCACCCUCCAAGCGAAGAGGAAAAACUCGGCUCAAGCUUUGGAUACCUCUGAUAAUGGAAAUAUGAAAUACCUGGAAGUACUGGAGACUGUGCCAGAGACAUCUGAAGCAACAAUGGCUGGAGCUAGCAUUGAAUAUAAAUCAGUACCCAACAGAAUGCCACCUUUGCACAGUAGAUCAGUUUACAGCCGUGAUAAUAGUCGGAUUGCAAGAGAGACAAGCACCUCCAGUGUCAAAGCUAACACGAGAGAUGAUGUCAGGGAGGCCAAGUACAUGCGCUUUCGUAAUGUGGAAAAUGGAGAGACUGCACAUCCUGUAAGAGCAAGAGGUGUAUCUGACAUAAGGUCAAGGUCACCAAUAGACAGUGUUCCACCCAAUGCAUGUCGAGGAGAAGGCCCUGCUGACCACCAUUUGAAGUCGAGGAACACAUAUUCCAACCGGGAGCAUGCCAAUGAUACAGACUUGGACGGUCCAAGCAGAGUCAGGGAUCUUGAGAAAGAUCGGGCCGAGCUGUUGAGGAUGCUUGAUGAGUUGAGAGACCAGGUGCAGCAAUCGUGUGAGGUGAAUGGGCCGGAUACAAGUGCUACAGUCAAUAGAGCAGCAGAUGCCUCAAGUUCAUACAAUAAUAUUCAUGAACGGUCAAGUCAAUUUAGGCAUGAUCCAUCUCAAUUGCAUCGGAAGGGUACUCAUCACUCUUCAUCCAUGAAUAUGCGGAAUCCUAGCGUUCCACAUGUCUAUGGUCCAUUGCCUGCACAGCAAAACCUUCAUGGAUAUGUGGAGCCUAUUCCACAUGCAAGAACCUCUAGCUAUCCUGCUGGCCCUUACCCAUGGAGAAAUUUCGAUAACUAUUUCUUUGGACAACAUGAUCCUGACCCUCUCCUCUCUUGCCACCACGAAGGAUUCUACCACCAGGCUGCCUGUUCUUGCUCACAUUGCUACCACCGGGAGUUCUUGCCUGUACAGGGAACCCCCCUGGGUUUCAGUGACCAGAGGGCACCGUAUCUUGUGAACAGUUACGGGGCCUAUCCUGUGGAUGGUCCCUUGCUUGGUCAGCAAAGGUACAAUUCAAGAGGUGCCAAUCCUUCCUUGCAGCAGCAUAACCUGAGGGCCAACGUAAGCAAGAAGCCUGCACAAACUUGUGAGCCAAUUGCCGGUGGUGCUCCUUUCACCAUAUGUUACAACUGCUAUGAAGUACUGCAGCUACCAAACAAACGCUCCUUGUUGGGAAAGGAGUAUAAAUUGCGGUGUGGAUCAUGCUCACACACAAUUGUAAUCAAGCUUGAUGGAACCAGGCUUGAUGUAUCAGAACUUGCGCCAAAUGCACAUUUAUCUCCUGCACCGCAAAAUGGCAUUGGUGAUAACAUGGCAGACAACUUGCGUGCUACUGCUGAUGAUAGGUUGCUUCCACCAUAUGCUUUUUCUGUAGCAAGCCAGCAAUCUCAGGAAAAGGAUAAACACUCAAAUUCAAGCGAAACAGACAGCAAACGUACCCCUCUGGGGACUAAUUCUGAGGAUAGUCCUCAAUCCAGGGAUCUUCCUGCUGAAGACAAUGUGAUUUCCCGCACACCGAGUUUACCACGUCGUGAUAACUGUGGAUUCUCACCAUCUGAAGGUUCUGGAAUAGGAAGCAGAAGUACCCGUUCUGAACAUGAAAAGGUUGUACUGUUAACUGAAACUUGCAAGCAGAACUCAAUCAAAGAUGUAUGUGUAGCAGACGAGACGCACUCGACAGAUAACGAGUUUGAUGAUCCUGAUUACACACAAGAUAUAUUAAAUGUACCACAAGAUCCUGGCCACACUAGGGCGACAAAGGUGGGUGAUUCAUUUUUCACCAAUCUUAUAAAAAAGAGCUUCAAAAUGAACAAUGGAACACGCAAUGGAAGAGCAAGGGUUUUUGUAAAUGGUUUCCCUAUCCCAGACCGUGCGGUCAGGAAGGCUGAGAAGCUAGCUGGGCCAAUAUAUCCUGGUGAUUACUGGUAUGACUACCGUGCUGGGUUCUGGGGUGUUGUCGGUCAGCCCUGCCUUGGCAUGAUACCCCCUUAUAUUCCAGAGUUUAAUUACCCUAUGCCCAAGAAUUGUGGUGGUGGAAACACUGGCAUAUAUAUUAACGGAAGAGAACUCCACCAGAAGGAUUUGGAUUUACUUGUAUCUCGAGGACUCUCUGAUUCCCCUGAAAGAUCUUACAUAGUUGAAAAUUCUGGGAAAGUUACGGAUGAAGCAUCUGGCGAAGAGCUUUAUGGCCUUGGCAAGCUUGCACCAACCGUCGAGAAAUUGAGGCGCGGAUUCGGUAUGCGUGUCCCCAAAGUUAUCGUGACGGGCCAGCACGGUACAAUCAUAACCCACGGGUAA